rnacentral:piRNA from 1 species
UAAUAUCUCCACAGCCUGAGGAAC